rnacentral:rRNA from 1 species
AGAGUUUGAUCAUGGCUCAGAACGAACGCUGGCGGCGUGCUUAACACAUGCAAGUCGAACGCGAAAGUUUUCUUCGGAAGGCGAGUAGAGUGGCGCACGGGUGAGUAACGCGUAAGUAAUCUACCCCGGCAUCUGGAAUAACUCACCGAAAGGUGUGCUAAUACCGGAUACGUUGGUANCAAGAAAGGUGGCCUCUGCAUAUGCUACCGUGCUGGGAUGAGCUUGCGUACCAUUAGCUAGUUGGUAGGGUAAUGGCCUACCAAGGCAACGAUGGUUAGCGGGUCUGAGAGGAUGAUCCGCCACACUGGAACUGGAACACGGACCAGACUCCUACGGGAGGCAGCAGUGAGGAAUAUUGCGCAAUGGGGGCAACCCUGACGCAGCGACGCCGCGUGGAUGAUGAAGGCCUUCGGGUCGUAAAAUCCUGUCAGAUGGAAAGAAGUGUUAUGUGGUUAAUACCCAUGGAGCUUUCCGGUNCCA